UAGGGCAGAUCCGAGCAGCAGCACAAAGGGGCCCCGGGGGGCGGGGGAAGCGCACCGUUAGCUCCCCCUGCGCCGGCUACUGGUGCAGCUGCAGGGGGGGUUGCAAGGCUCCCCUGCAGCAACGCUGCAAAGGGAUGUGGGGGGCGCAGUUCCCCUUGCAAGGUCCUGGGGCGGCGGUGGUGCGAAGGGGCUGGGUGCAUUGCUCCCGCCAGGGUAUCAGUGGCACGGAGCAGUGGAGGCGCAUCGCUUUUCCCUCCUCCCAGAGGGCACUGGACUAAGACUCAGGAGAUACUCUCUGUGCCUCCGUUUUCCUUUUGCAACCUUUAUCCGUCUGGUCUAUAUAGACUGUAUGCUCUUUGAAGCAGGAAAUGUCUCUCACUCUUUCAUAUAGUGAGACCAGGGAAGAGAAGGUGGCACUGCCCCGAGUCCUGUCUUCAGCCGAGGACGGUUGAGAAGGAACUGAGGAGGGUGUGGGGCGCACGCACUCAGGAAGAUUCCAA